GAUGAACGCUGGCGGCGUGCCUAAUACAUGCAAGUCGAGCGAACAGAUAAGGAGCUUGCUCCUUUGACGUUAGCGGCGGACGGGUGAGUAACACGUGGGUAACCUACCUAUAAGUCUGGGAUAACUUCGGGAAACCGGAGCUAAUACCGGAUAACAUUUGGAUCCGCAUGGUUCUUAAGUGAAAGAUGGUUUUUCUAUCUCUUAUAGCUGGUCCCGCGCCGUAUUAGCUAGUUGGUAAGGUAACGGCUUACCAAGGCUACGAUACGUAGCCGACCUGAGAGGGGGAUAGGCGACACGGGAAGGGAGACAGGGACAAGAGAACUAAGGGAGGGAGCAGAAGGGAAUGGGAGGCAAUGAGCGAAAGCAUGACGGAGCAACGCGGAGUGAGAGAUAAAGGGGUUGGGCUCGGAAAAAUCUGUUAUGAGGGAAGAACAAAUGUGGAAGUAACUGUGGACGGAGUGACGGUAACGAAUCAGAAAGCAACGGCUAACUACGUG
rnacentral:rRNA from 1 species